GUUGUCGCAUCUUGCCUCUCUUUAUAAUUUUGCCAAUGAAGGGGAUGUUGGGCGCAGCUUGAGCGCAAUGUUUUAACCAAAAAUAUAUUGGUAUCAUGAAAGUAUAAGGACUUGAACGACUUCGGUUGUUCACCUACUUCGCGAUAUGUCUGCAGCGAUGCUGAGCACUACCAGCAAGCUGAAUGUAUUGGUCAACAAGCUGCACGAGUACAUAGCUCAUUCUACUCCUGAGGACAGCAAUGGCACUCCAACCUCAGAGGAUGCUGAUGAUAUUCUUUUUACAGGUCUGACAAACAGGAGCUGUUCUGUGGGAAACUCAACAGAGCAUGCUGCGACAAAGGCUGGAGUGGAUACCAAAAACUCAAGAAGAAAACCAUCUGUUGUCAUAAAGCAUUCUGGGCUCGAUGAAUCUGGGGAUUCAAGUGCAAGUGAGGACUUGGAUUUACCAGUCAACGCAAAUGGUCACCCUGAUAUCACUAGAUUGCCAAAAGGCACUGUACUGGUGAGGCCUGAAGCUGUUGAUAAUGGAAGAGAUGACUUCAGGGGUCCUGAGUUUCGCAGCCGGAAAUCGGGCGUACUUUCGAGAAGACGUGGAGGAGUUGAACACAUGGGAAUUGUCAGUUGCACCGCAUGCGGCCGACAAGUUAACCACUUCCAGAGAGAUUCCUUUUAUCGACAUCCAGCUCUGAAAGUACUUAUUUGCAAGUCUUGCUACAAGUAUUACUUAAGUGAUGACAUCAGUAAGGAUGGAGAUGGAAUGGAUGAGCAAUGCAGAUGGUGUGCUGAAGGAGGCAACUUGAUCUGUUGUGACUUCUGUAGUAAUGCAUUCUGCAAGAAGUGUAUUCUAAGAAAUUUAGGAAGGAAGGAGCUGUCUGGCAUCUUGGAGAGCAAAUGGUACUGCUAUGUGUGUAGCCCGGAGCCCCUUUUUGACCUGGUGGUGGCCUGUGACAGUGUCCUCGAGAACAUGGAGCAUCUGUGGUAUCAGCAGCGCAAGAAGAACCGAGUAGAGCCGGAGAAAUCUGAACUUUAUCACAUGUUGCCACACUUACCUCAAAACAUUCCUUUGGAUACAUGGGAUCACACUGGUAUGGAUGGUAAUGUGGUGUUCAACUAUAACGCACUGCAGAUUUCUAAGAAUCUUACCAAAAAGGCCAAACAUUUAGUGGAUUCAACAAACAUCUUAAACCGGACAUUUGUCAAUUUCAUUCAUACUGUGACAACAAACAAGCAAACACCUGCUGUUCGCAAUCUGUACUUGAACUCCUUUUUGUCAGUAGUUAAAGGUUUGCGAAAAUCACUUGCCGCACUUGAGGAUAGCCUUAAGGAAGAAUUCAGUGACCUGGAUGUCAUGAGCUGUUGGCAAAAGUUAUUUAGUGAUGACUUUGAUGCACAACCUGUAACAGAAGCAGAUGCAGAUAUCUCUGAUGAAAGAUGCUUGAGUGACUUGCAGAAAUUGGCAGCUGAACAUUUGGAAGAUUAUGAUUCUGACUCCAAGGGCUGCACAGAUGGGAGAACUGCACAUGCCUGCACUGGUGAAAACAUGGAUUCAGAUUUAAAUGAAGCCAGGCAGAGUGCCCAAAAGAUUGGCCCGAAGCCUUCUGAAAGCGGUUUCAACAUGACUAAAAAACUAGUAGUGAAACUUACUCCUGUACCAAUGGAACAGGGGCCAUCCUCUGAUGCUCCGAAGAUAGAGACGGACAUCCACAUAAACGAUAAGUCAGAGGUAAAGGAUGUAUCAGAAGAUGAAGAGACAGGUGUUGUAGGUGCUAAAGCUGACAGCAAGAUGAGCAACGACAACUCUAGUGCAUCUCUACACCCAGAAGAGGAACAAGGCAAUAGACGAUCUCCUCGUGUGAAGACAACACCUUUGCGUCGACCAAGUGAUGUCAAGGCCAAAACACCUCGUUCUGCAGCAGACAGUGACAGUGACUCUGACCCCGAGGAAACCUCCAGCACAGUACCAGCCAAAAACACAGAAGAACAAAGUCUGAGCAGAGCAAGAGACGACUCUGACUCAGAUGAAGUCCCUGCAGCUCUGCUUGAGCGAGCAGCUAUGACACAAAGCUCUGAUGAACCCCAGAGUGAUGAGAAUGGCGGAGAAGCAUCAACUAAGGUGGCCAAGAAAUGUCUCUUCUGGCUCACUAAGAACACCCCAAUCUCACCGGAGAAGAUGCGCUGCAAACGUAAGAUGCUGGACCGUUCCCCCGAGUCUGACUCAAGUAACAGAAGAGUAAAAUCUCGAAGAGAAAGUGGGACAGAUUCCUCUAGUGAUGAUGUGGACUCGCAGAAGAAAAUAAAACACUUGAAUACGCUGAGGCCAAUAGGGAAGUCUCACCUUGUCAAAAGAGAGGAUCAAGAUGUGGCUAGAAAGCAGGGUAGCAUACAGGCUGGAAAGUCUAAGGCUAAAACUCGUCGGAAAGCAAUGGAGUCGUCAUCGUCCACAAGCGAAGAUGAAGAUGACGACGACGAUGACUUUGGGAGUGAAGGAAGUGAUCAGAAGAUGAAGCCAAUCACUGAAGAUGUGGCUUUACUUGGAGCAGCAGCGUUCCACCAAUCUUCAGGAGAUGAGGAGCAAUCUGGGCCCUCGUGGGCAGCAGAAGAAGAUGAUGAUCCAGAAAAUAGAAUCGCUAAGAAAAUGCUAUUGGCUGAAAUCAAAGCCAACUACUCCUCGGGCGAAGAUCUGUCUUCGGAUGAGGAAACGCAAGAGGAUGAAUCUGACUCGGAGGGUGAGAAGGAGUUCAAACAAGGCAAUAAGGAUAAUGAAACGGAUGAAAAUGGAGAAGACCUGACAUCAGACUCAUCUGACACCACGUGUGAUGGGCCCAACUCCAGACACCAUCUUCUCCGCCACAAACUAACCUUAGAUGAGGGAACGCCAAGUGACAAGGCCGAGAGUGACGUAGGAAAGCCGGAGAGCAAGCGAAAAGCCAGCAGCAAACACCUGGGCUCUGAUAGUGAAAGUGAUGGUGACAGUAACGAGUCUGAGCCAGAAGAUCUUGGGAUGAGCGAGGAGCUGAGUCAGUCCGAGGAUGAGGCCGGUGAAGAUGGACUCAAAAGCUCCAGAUUAUCCAGUAAAGAGAAGGAGGCAUCGCGUAGUUAUGAAAAGAAGAUAAAAGUGCCCUGCAUUUGGUUGUCUGACUCCAGCAGUGAAAAGAGUGAUAAAGAGGAUGGAGAUGAGAACAGCGACAGUAAAGGCACCCCAAAAGGACGCAAAAAGAUCCGGGAUAUCAUUGAAGAUGAAAAUCUCCGUGCUGAGACCCAGGAAGCCCUCAGAGAGGAGGAGGAGAGACGUCAGCGGUUGGCAGAAAGGAAACAACAGAUGGAGGACAGGAGAGAGAUAAUUGAUGGAAAGGAUGAGCUGUCUCAAGUAGCAUGUCCCAUCACCACCAAGCUGAUUCUGGAUCAAGAUGAGGAAACCAAGAAUCCUCUUGUUCAGGUGCACAGGAACCUGGUGACGAGACUGAAGCCUCACCAGGUGGACGGAGUCCAGUUUAUUUGGGACAGUUGUUGUGAGUCUGUAAAGAAAGCCAACUCCUCCCCUGGAACAGGCUGUAUACUGGCACACUGCAUGGGCCUGGGGAAGACUCUGCAGGUGGUAACUUUCCUCCACACGGUGCUGCUGUCAGAGAACCUGAAAUUCAGAAGGGCCCUGGUCGUGUGUCCACUUAAUACUAUCCUCAACUGGGUCAGCGAGUUCAAGAAAUGGCAAAACAACAUGGGAAAGGAUAAAGUGACAGUUACCGAACUGGCUACAAAAAAGCAUCCUGCAGAACGACUCAGGGCUCUGCAGCGGUGGCAGAGCGAUGGGGGUGUUAUGAUAAUGGGGUAUGAGAUGUACCGCAUCCUGUCACAAGCAGAGAAAAUGAAUGAGGAGUGCAAGAAAGAGUUACAGAGCAUACUGGUGGAUCCAGGUCCAGACUUUGUGGUUUGUGACGAGGGACACAUCCUGCGCAACGAAGUGACCAAAAUCUCCAAAUCUUUAAAUGCCAUCAAGACCCAACGAAGAGUGGUGCUAACUGGCACACCACUACAAAACAACUUAAAUGAGUAUCACUGCAUGGUCAAUUUCAUCAAAAAGAAUCUACUGGGCUCACUGAACGAAUUCCGAAACCGUUUCAUCAACCCCAUACAGAACGGCCAAUGUGCUGACUCCACAUCAAGAGACGUCCGAAUCAUGAAGAAGCGAGCACAUGUUCUUCAUGCAAUGUUGGUCGGGUGUGUCCAGAGAAGAGAUUACUCAGAGUUGACUCAGUUUCUGCCUCCUAAAUACGAGUAUGUGCUGGCAGUGAGGGUUUCACCACUUCAGUAUACGUUGUAUCGCUACUACCUCGACCACGUCACCAGUAUAGGCUCCAUGACUAACAGAGCAACGGGGAGGAUUGGAGCAAACCUGUUCAAGGACUUUCAGGUGCUCAGCAGAAUUUGGACUCAUCCCUGGUGCCUUCAGCUCAGCUUCAUCAGCAAAGAAAACAAGGCAUAUUUUGAAAAGAAGAGAAUUAAAGCGGCAGCUCUGCUGAGAAAAGAAGAAACCACUGUGGUUGAGCGUGGACUGCGAGAGAACGAAGGAAAAGAAGGGAAUACCGAUGACAGCAGUACAGCAGUUAUUGUUGGAAAGAAAGCAACCAUCAGCUCGAAGUCUCAGAGUCUAGAUGAGGGCUGGUUCAAGAAUCUGCUGACUGAAGAAGAUGCCAAAAUCCUGGAGCACUCGGGGAAGAUGGUGCUCUUGUUUGAAAUCCUCAGAAUGGCUGAAGACCUGAACGAUAAAGUGCUUGUGUUCAGUCAGUCGUUGAUCUCAUUAAAUCUAAUUGAGGAUUUCCUCAGGACUUUUCACCAUGCCAGAGACCCAUCCUCAUUCAAAGCGGGUAGCUGGAUUAAAAACCUUGACUACUAUCGUCUUGAUGGUUCCACCAGUGCUCCGCUAAGGAAGAAAUGGGCAGAUCAAUUCAAUAAUGCCAGCAAUGAUCGCGGCCGAUUGUUUCUCAUCUCAACAAGAGCCGGCUCACUUGGCAUCAACCUCGUUGCCGCCAACCGGGUCAUCAUCUUUGACGCCUCAUGGAAUCCCUCAUAUGACAUACAGAGCAUAUACAGGGUGUACCGCUUCGGUCAGCUCAAACAAGUGUUUGUGUACCGCUUCUUGGCUCAGGGCACCAUGGAGGAGAAGAUCUAUGAUCGCCAGGUGACCAAACAGUCUUUGUCCUAUCGAGUGGUGGAUCAGCAGCAGAUUGAGAGGCACUUCACCCUUUUUGAACUGACUGAACUUUACGUGUUUGAGCCAGACCUGCUGGGCGACCCAAACUCUAAGAAAAGCAAAAGAACCACCCCUGUUUUGCCAAAGGAUAAGGUCCUAGCACAGCUAUUACAAACCUGUAAAGACCAGAUAGUGUCUUUCCACGAGCAUCAAUCUCUGCUGGACCAUAAACAAGAGGAGGAGCUCAGUGAGGCAGAACGCAAAGAUGCCUGGGCCGAGUAUGAGGCCGAGUCUACCAACCCUCCACCCAGCUCAAGCCUAAACAGCUUGGAUACGAAAACCAACGAACAGCUAAUGGUCUUUGCAGGAAUUGCUGAACAGCAGCAGAGCAAAUGUAGCGGAGGCCUUUAUGGCAACGCAGAGGACGACUUCUCACACUAUCGAGGAUUACAUGUUACGAGUGUGGCAACAGUAUCCUCAGCUGCCUGAGGCCACGGUUAAGACCAAAGCUAAGAUUUGGAAAGUGUCUGAUGAGAAGGAGAAGGAACGUAGACAGGCCUUUUAUCGAGACAUUUUUGCACAGCAACAAACGCUUACACAUAGCAUUCAGGCCAUACUGAAGAAUCGAAGGAUUCAAGUGAAGCAGCCGACCGUGACCACUGUGACCCAGCCUGGACAGACUUGAAGAAAAUCAUGUUUUGGUUGGAAAACAAAAUGAUGCCUCUCCUCUUUAUCACUGCUCUACCAGUGAAUUGAAUGUAUGUUUAACAAUAUGGAAAAAUAACAGUCUGAGCUCCUAUAUCAUUAAAACAACCUACCAGCAGCACAUUAUCAGAUGUUAUAGAACCUUAUUUCCAAUUCUUAGGAUUUCAAGUAAUGUAAUUUCAGUUGCAAUGUUCAGGUGUACUAACCAUUUUGUUUUGUAACUUCUCAAGCACUUUAACUAACACCAAGUUAGGUUUAACAAAUGUCUUUUAAGAGUUUGCAAAAGAAACGGGAGUUGUUCAACUGCUUCAUACCAAAAACUUCUUGCGUCUGAACAUCAAUUUGAUGGUUUACUGUACCUGUAGCCAUACUGUACCUGCCUUACUGUUUAACCUCAAUGUUUUUCUAUUGAAUUGUGUUUAACAUUGUAUGGGUUUGUUACCAGUUGUUAUAAUUAUGUAAUAAAUUGACAUAACUGAAAUUGGUUCUUAUUUUUAAAUGUGUGUGUUUGUGAACCAGCACAAAGAUUCAGGCCAUGACAGAGAUAGCAAAGAUCUGUCAAAAGAGAUCAAAGUUCUAUCAGUGAGAAUAUCUGUUCAGUGUUAUAAACCCUUAAAAAAAGUCCUUUCAGUUGUGCAGGACAAUUAAUUUUGUAAGGGAACAAAUUUUCUUAUUUUUUCAAGAAUAUCCUUCCCAGAAAUUGUGUGCAUAUGUAGCUUAAAUGCUGUUAAUGUGUGUAUCUCGCUACAGUGUCGGUCAUGGUAUUAGCCAACAUAACUCUCCCUUCCGAGUUUCCAAGUAGAAACAGAACAGCUGUUCAGCCACAAGUUGUUCCCCUGAGCGGAAGGCUCCAUGCCCAGAAGUGCAUUUGUUAAUUAAUGAAAGCAAGCCAGCUGCAGUGGUGUAAAAACCCUUCAACGUUUCCCUCCAGCUCCACUUCAACUGACAAUAGUGCAAAGGUAUCAGUGCGUACAAAACUACGCAAAAAUGUAAACACAGAAUACCAUUCUUAUAAAUUAUAUUUUUAGAUGAUAUAAAAGACAGACUGGGAAAAAAUUGAGUAACAGUCUUUGUGCACAUGUAGAUACAGCAGUUCAUACAAAAGUUGGCAGUUUUACUAUUAUAAAAACGGUGUCGGUGUUCAUGAACUUUUAAUGCACAAUCACCAUGAAAGUGGUUUGGAUUUGUGUAAACAUACAUACAAAUAUCCUUAGUCUGUCCAAUUUAUCUUAGAUGAUAAGCAUUGUUCCCUUACACAAAUGUUAUCCAAGAUAAAUAGCUUUUAUGCUUGAGUUUGGGAUACAGUACAACCUCAAAAGAGAAAUUGGUUCCACUUCUGUUUAAACAGUAGAAAUUGUUAGAUUUUAAUGCAUUAUGUAGAUCAACUGUAUCAACUAUAAUGCUUAAAAUGCACUGGAAACGUUGAGUUUAAAGUCGAGCAGGAAAGAGAACACAUUUGAACAUAUGGAUUGGAAAUGUGAAAUGGCAUUUAACCACCAGCUCUGAUUAUGAUGACAUGCAUUUAGCCAGUCAUGUCCUCUACUUGCGUAUUGUCUUUCAGGGUACAGGAGUGUAUCCCAACAUGCACUGGGCAGAAGAGACAACAGUCCAUCAAAGGUUUAACAAUAUAUGGUUAACAUGUGGAUCGCAUUUCAGUUUAAAAUAGUUGCUUGACUUGUGUUUAGAAAGGAAAAGAUGAUACACACACUCACAGGGAGAAAACUCCACAACAAAUAAAACAAGUGAUGUGCUCUCACAUAACCAAC